CUUGUGUAUGAAAAGAGAGAAGGUCAGCACUCUUGACAAGGAUGGAAGAGGCCCUUGGGCCUGACAACACGCAUACGGUUAAGGCAUUGCCACCUACUCCCUCAUCCCAGUUGUUCC
rnacentral:ncRNA from 1 species